GUGGGAGGGUCUAUCAAAGCUUGUCUUAGACACCAUCAGAAAUGGCCAGAUAAGCGGGCUGCCAAUUAAAAACCAUCGAUCUGGUUUACCUUAGACACCAACUGAUUUAAUUAGUUUCAAUUAGAUCAACCUAACAGUUCAUGCUAGAUCGCUUAACCAAGAAUCAAGUCCAUUUGGUUCUCGUUAAAGACAUGGACUUGAUCAAAUAUAACUAUUGUAAUUGAUCUAGAGAAUCUUUGACAUAAUCUAAGAC
rnacentral:lncRNA from 1 species